AUUGAACGCUGGCGGCAUGCCUUACACAUGCAAGUCGAACGGCAGCACGGGUGCUUGCACCUGGUGGCGAGUGGCGAACGGGUGAGUAAUACAUCGGAACGUACCUUGUAAUGGGGGAUAACGUAGCGAAAGUUACGCUAAUACCGCAUACGACCUGAGGGUGAAAGCAGGGGAUCGCAAGACCUUGCGUUAUACGAGCGGCCGAUGUCAGAUUAGCUAGUUGGUAAGGUAAAGGCUCACCAAGGCGACGAUCUGUAGCGGGUCUGAGAGGAGGGUCCGCCACACUGGGGCUGAGACACGGCCCAGACUCCGACGGGAGGCAGCAGUGGGGAAUUUUGGACAAUGGGGGAAACCCUGAUCCAGCCAUGCCGCGUGAGUGAAGAAGGCCUUCGGGUUGUAAAGCUCUUUCGGCCGGGAAGAAAUCGCGCAGGCUAAUACUCUGUGUGGAUGACGGUACCGGCAUAAGAAGCACCGGCUAACUACGUGCCAGCCGCCGCCGUAA
rnacentral:rRNA from 1 species